rnacentral:rRNA from 1 species
UAGGGAAUCUUCCACAAUGGACGCAAGUCUGAUGGAGCAACGCCGCGUGAGUGAAGAAGGUUUUCGGACCGUAAAGCUCUGUUGUUGGUGAAGAAGGAUAGAGGUAGUAACUGGCCUUUAUUUGACGGUAAUCAACCAGAAAGUCACGGCUAACUACGUGCCAGCAGCCGCGGUAAUACGUAGGUGGCAAGCGUUGUCCGGAUUUAUUGGGCGUAAAGCGAGCGCAGGCGGAAGAAUAAGUCUGAUGUGAAAGCCCUCGGCUUAACCGAGGAAUUGCAUCGGAAACUGUUUUCUUGAGUGCAGAAGAGGAGAGUAGAACUCCAUGUGUAGCGGUGGAAUGCGUAGAUAUAUGGAAGAAUACCAGUGGCGAAGGCGNCUCUCGGUCUGCAACUGACGCUGAGGCUCGAAAGCAUGGGUAGCGAACAGGAUUAGAUACCCUGGUAGUCCAUGCCGUAAACGAUGAGUGCUAAGUGUUGGGAGGCUUCCGCCUCUCAGUGCUGCAGCUAACGCAUUAAGCACUCCGCCUGGGGGAGUACGACCGCAAGGUUGAAAC